rnacentral:lncRNA from 1 species
UUUUUUAUCGAAACAUUUUGAGGUUGUAACCUUUGUGUAUAAAAUUUUCAAAGUUCAUAUUUUAUAUGUCCACCUUUGUGUAUCAAACUUUUCAAAGUUUAUAUUUUAUAUGUCCCUUUAAUGGAUUUUCUGUCAAUUAUAAGCAUUUUAUUUAAGAAAACGAGGUUAUGAAUUUUCAAUGUCACUUAAAACUAUAGAAAUGAAACUUUUUUGAGGUUUGGCAUUAUGGAUAGUAUAUGAGUGAACACCGUGUAACUUCUUGCAUUUUCGGUCAAUUAUACCAAUUUCAAUUAAAUUUUUUUGGUAGUAAUAUAUCAAACUUUUUUGGUUACUUAAAGACAAUUUGAAUUUGGAGUUAGAACUUAUAAUCUUUUUAAAAUUUUAUAAUAUGUUGCUCAAUUUUUUCACAUUUUUCAAAUUUGCAUCAAUAUAUAUUUUUAAAGAUAUAUAUAUGUUUGUGUUUUAGUCUUCAAAAACUAAUAGUUUAUAGCUAAUAACUGAUAGUUUAUAGCUGAAAAACUAAUAAUAGUCCUAAUUAGGUGCUAUUAUUAUAUGUAAUGGAAGGAUGAAUGAAAUAAGCAUGAGAAAUAUUAUUCAUAACUUUUUGUUUUGUUAGGAGAUCCUCUCGUUGAAGGAGUUUAUUUUUAUUUUUUGCAAAGGCCUUUCAUGUUCAAUCUAAACUGUCCAAAUUAAAAGGCAUGAAACUAUACUCCUAUAUCAUUUUGAUUAUGAAGAAAAUAACAAUGCAUAAGUUGCAUAACUUACAUUCAAAAAAAAAAAAAAAGUUGCAUAACUUUGAAUAAUGAAUAAUAACAAAAAAAAUAAUCAAAUUCAAAGGAAUAAUCAGAUCAAGAUAACAUACAUCAUCUAUAGCUUUGAUAUCAUCCAUGGAUUUGAGUGUUGGAUCAGAUAGUUCCUCAAUAGAUGCCAUAUAUAUAUUCAAUUUCUUAAUCUCUAUUAGAUAGGUAUAUAUCUAUAGAUAUUGGCCUCUUCUACUAAAUGGAAGAAAGCACUACUUUCUCUCUUGCUACCUCACUCUUUUCAUCUCAUGUAGUAGUCUUCAUCUUUUAUAGUGCAUUAAUAUUAUUAAUUGAACUUUCCUUAUUCGUCCUUAAUUUAAAUUCACUCUCCAACUUGGUUUCACCAUUUAUGGAAAUGUUUGGUUUAAACUUUUAUUGCAACAUAAUUAUAUUGGUUGAAACGAGAGGGAUGUUUCAUAGUAGCUCUUAAUUUCUUUUUUUUGCCGCGUAUAUUAAGAAAAAAAUAAUAUCUAGUUCACUCUUUUUUUUAAUAAUAGAUAAUAGAUCGUAGAUAGGUUCAAAAUUUUCACCGUAAUUUAAGAGUAAAUAGAAAAUGAAUUGUCUCAUUUUAAUCAAAGAACAGUGACCUCAUGCUUAAGUAGGCAUAGUGGUUUGGUGGUGUUGGAUUGGUCGGUGAAAAUUCUUUGUUAUAAAGUUAGGGAGUCGAGAAGUGCUUCUAAACGGAAAGAAAAGAUGUGAGAAGUCAAAUUUAUAGCAAUUGAUAAAUAUUGUGCGUGAUGUCGUGCAAAUAUGCAUUAUUUUCAGUGAAGUGUAAAAAAAUGCAUGAUUUUAAAUAGUAUUUCAUCCCUCAUUUUUCAUCACUCAUUUUUAAAUUUUUUUUUGUUCUUUUCGUAAAUGUUUUAUAACAUGCUCGAAGUUACACUGUAUUCAUAUACUACCUAUAAACUUUUAUUUUUUGGGAGUUUUAAUAUUUAGAAAUGGUAGAAAUAUUUUGAGUUUGUAACAAUUUGGAUUCAAAUCUUUAAAAGUUCAAAACAUUUAUUUUAAAAGUUUUUUCAAAGUUGGAAACCUUUCUCUAAAAAAUUUCAAAGUUCAUUUUUUAUAUGUCCACCUUUGUGUAUCAAACUUUUCAAAGUUCAUAUUUUUUAUGUCCCUUUAAUUUAAUUUUUCGUCCAUUAUACCAAUUUUAUUUAAGAAAAUUGGGUUUGGAAUUUCCAAUAUCACUUGAAACCUAAGAAACCAAACUUUUUUGAGUUUAGGGAUUUUGGGUAGUAUAUGAACGAAUACCGGAUAACUUCUUGUGUUUUCUGUCAAUACCAAUUUUAAUUAAACUUUUUUGGUAGUAAUAUAUCAAACUUUUUUGGUUACUUAAAGACAAUUUGAAUUUGGAGUUAGAACUUAUAAUCUUUUUAAAAUUUUAUAAUAUGUUGCUCAAUUUUUUCACAUUUUUCAAAUUUGCAUCAAUAUAUAUUUUUAAAGAUAUAUAUAUGUUUGUGUUUUAGUCUUCAAAAAUUACACCUAGAUCCCUCAUUUUUCAAACUUUUUGAGUUAGUUUUGUACAAGUUUUAUAACAUACUCGAAGUUACACUGUAUUCAUUCAUAUACUACCUAUAAGCAUUUAUUUUUUGAGUCUUAAUAUUUAGAAAUAGUAGAAAUGUUUUGAGUGAUUCAAAUCUUUAAAUGUUCAAAACAUUGGAUUUAGGAGUUUUUUUUUUUUAUCGAAACAUUUUGAGUUGGAAACCUUUCUCUAAAAAUAUUUCAAAAUUCAUAUUUUACUUGUCCACCUUUGUGUAUCAAACUUUUCAAAGUUCAUAUUUUUUUUGUCCCUUUAAUGGAUUUUCCGUCAAUUAUACCGAUUUUAUUUAAGAAAAAGAGGUUAGGAAUUUCCAAUAUCACUAGAAAUGAGGGAGCAAAUUUAGAUGUGUGCGUAUUAGUUUUAUAAAUGAUUGUCACUUUGCUUCCUAUUGAACUAACAUCGUUCCCUUGUUGUUUGAUGCAUAAUACACCUUCAAUUCGUUGAUGAGUGAUGGAACUGGGAUGGGUGUCAUCAUGAGAUAAAACAGCUCCAAUGGCGACUACAAAAGCAUCCGUCUCAACAAUAAAGACUUUAGAGAAAUUUUUGCAAAACAAACACACAUUUGUGUUUUUUUAUUUUAUUUUUAAUUCUUUAAAUGCCAUAGUGGCCUCUGUAAUGCAUGUAAACUUAUUAGAACACAACAAAUCGGUGAGAGGAGCAGCGAGAGUGGUCUAAUGGAGGACGAAUCGCCUAUAAAAUCUCGUGAAACCUAAAAAUCCUCCGAGCGUCGUGACCAAGCGGUACUCGGUACUCUAGUUAGUCUACUAUUGUUUGCACCAUAUCUAGAUGAUAUUUUAGUGAGAGAGUGUUGGGAAUUGCCUUGAAAAUGUGGAAAAACAGCAAAAGCUGCUGUUUUGGUGCCCCGGGCGAAAAUUUNNNNNNNNNNNNNNNNNNNNNNNNNNNNNNNNNNNNNNNNNNNNNNNNNNNNNNNNNNNNNNNNNNNNNNGGUUAUAAGAGUAACAUCUUGGGAAGACUCUAGGGUUGGGGAAUCAUUCUAUCACCUUGGGAAACACUUAUUGAUUAAAUCUCUUGGUCACGGGAAGAGAUUUGGGAAAAGGGUAGAAUUAGGGUUGAAGUCUAAAUCUUGCAACUCUUUUGUAUUGAAUCUUGUUGUAAUCAAGUUUUCUAUCGAUAGUGAAACGGAGAGUCCCUCUCCUCCAGAGUAGGUCGGUUUUGACUGAACUGGGUAAACAUUUGCUUCAUGUUCUUUACAGUUUUAUCGUUUAUCUUUUGAUUUGUGAUUAUUAUUGUCGAUCUCAUUAUUUGAUUGCUUAUUCGAUUUGCUCCACACAUCAAGAUUAUUGGUGUGAUAUUAAAGAAUUCACAACAGAGAGCGACUAUUUUAGGAAUUUGUUUGUAUUAAGGAUAGGACUAAGGAGUUUGGGAAACAUGUAAUCUUAAAUUUAUUUUUCUCAAAUGUGGCUGUAAUUUUUGCAUUCGUUGAGCUUAUAUUGGUGAUUAUGUAUCGAAGUUAUAUUGCAAAAUUUCUUCCAUGCAUGAAUUUUAUUUGUGUUGAUAAGGAUUAUGUGAAGUAAAAUUAGCAUGAAAAGUUGCAAAUUGGAUAGCUAAGAGACUGCCUAAGAUCAAUGAAAAUAUUCAAGAGAAUGUUGAAGUAAUAUUGGAUACUUUGAUUAUAGUUGGUCGUAGUGCUAAAACAAACCUCAAAUUUUCAUCCCUAAAUGGAAUAGAUACAUAAGAUGUCAGCUUAAUAGUAAGUGUAUGCCAUUGUAAAAUGAUCAUGUGGAAAAAACUAAAAAAAUUCAUAUUUAAUUGAUCUCUUGUUAAAAAAAUUUAAACUUUUGUAAGAGGGAUUCAUAUAAUGUAUUAAACAUGACCGUAGAAAAAAAAUUUAAAAUUUCGAAUGUUUUGCACGAGUUGAAUGAAAAGUAGUGAUUAAAAACCUUGAUGGAAAAAACUUCGGGGACUAAAAAGUGAAAAAAAAAAUCUUCAGGAACUAAAGCGAAAAUUUUGAAAAACUAUAGGGACCAAAAACAUAUUUAAUCCUUAAUGUUAUUUUGAAUAAUAAUUUCUCUUUUUUUUUUUUGAAAAAAACUAUUAUAAAAAGAAGACGCGUGUGUCAUAUAUCAGAAAUCAGUUAAUUUUCUUUUUGACAAUUACAAAAAAUCAGUUAUUUAAAACUUAUAAAACAAUAUCCAAAAGACAUAGAUUAUAUAAUUAGCUGUGACUAUAGCAGAAUAAUACUUCAACAAAACCAGUUUGUUAUAUAUUGUUGCCUAGUUAGUUAGACAAUGUUACCAUCUUCUAUAGUUAAGUCAAUAGUGUUAGAUAACAUUAUAUUACGAAUGACAGGCACAACUGCAUUUGAGGAAUUGCUUGGACAUGUUAUAUAUGUUACCGCAUAGGCGCGUGACGAGCUUAUGAGCAUGAUCACGGAAAAUAGGGAAGAUAAGCAAAAACCAGAAAAAUUGAUAAUGAUGAAAAGAAUGAAGAUGAUUGAAAGCAAAGUAAAAUUUUUAUUCAUCCACACUGGGCCAUUAUAGAAUAGUACAAUUGAUUACUAUUUAUACUAUCUAAACUAAUGAUUUAUGAACCAAGUCACUUACACAUAAAGCAACUAACUUCACAAUUGGUUGUAACUAACUAACUAACUAGAUGUUGUAACCAACUUAUUAACAAACUAAACUAACUCAAAUCAGUUAUGAAUUACAUCACUUUCUAACAAUAUAUUGAUUAUUACAAAUUUGAGGAGUCGCGCAUUGAGUGUGCAACUGUCUCGAUGGUGUCCACCCUACGCUGACAUAUAGAACUCUACGAGUCUGCUGUCGGUAUUCCAGACUUUCCUACAAAUUUGACGCACAGUUCAAGGAUUUCGGCUCCAAUUAGAUACAUAUCAAGAGGGAGCAUUUAUUAGAUUCAAAGAAACAGCUUGAAGGGAUUGUGUGGAAGAAGCUCUCCGUCAUUCUUAAGUUUGUUCGUCUCUAUACGCUUCUUGGAAGAGAUUCUAUCGCUUAUGCAGCUGGGAGAUGAGAAUUAUACUGAAUACAUGAUUUCAAAGAUCAAAAGGCCUCACUUCCGUUGACCCCGAAUUGCUCCCUCAUGCUACCGAGGCUUUUAGAAAUGGUAGCUUCAGCAAAGUUGUCCAGGAUUUGACUGUGUUUUAAACACAACCUUGAUAGCCUUGCCACUUCUACGGUGGAUCGAUGAAAGUUGUGCAGAAUUGUUUGCAAAGGGUUAUACCCACUUCCAAUAUCAGUUCUGUUGUUGCAGUAUUGAGCAGUGCUAGUAUAGAACAACUUGUAGCAACCAUCACACCCUGGAUACGACCAAUAUUAGAGAGUGCUGGAACAAUCGGCUAUGAGUUUUAGAAGCUGAGUAAGCAGAUAAUGUGGUGAAUGACCCAUCGGUUCAGAGACUUCUCCGUGCUGUGGAGACAAAUGUGGCCUGCUUGCAACCUAAUGACUGCAAAGAAUUAUCAUACUUUUGUUCAAUUGGUUAUUGACUUCAUUGUGAAAAGGCAUAAAAGUAGUUAUGAUGCAUAAAAUAUUUAGUCUAUAUAGUAUUGAGUCUUAUUGACAAUAGUUUUAGUGUUUGAGAAAGUAACACGUUUUUAUGAUGCUAUCUGCAUUAUACUAUCUUCAAAAGCAAAAAUUCCAUAACUGUAAUCAGAUUUUCAACCCAAAAUAGUCCUAGUUUAUGAAUCAAGUCAUCAACCAUCUUUGCUAUUUUUUGAAUUAAUUUCGAGGCUUUUGAAUAUGUGUGUUUUUGUUGCAACUAUGGAACCAAUGUCUAUGGAACCAGUUUCUAGUAGCUGCAAUUAUGUUGCAGCAUGUAUGUUGAGUGCAUUCAGGUGAUGGACUUUUGUAACAGAAGAAUAAAGAAACGCAAAUAAAAAACAAUGAUGCACGACCAUUUGUUUACGCAGUUCCACAAAGCGUGCACAAGUCUAUGACUACAAAGUAGCUGUAGUUCCGUAUUAUUACUUAAAUGAAUUGGGGUUUACAAUGUUACAUGCCAUAUAUAUGAUACUAUGGGUCUAGAUUAUAAGAAUAUCCCUAAACCGUACUUUCUCUACGCUUGCUCAUAUCCCUCACACCUUACACCCAUCAUUGUGAAAAGGCAUAAAAGGCCUAAAAGUAGUUAUGAUGCAUCAAUAUUCAUAGUUGAAACGACAUAAUCACAAGUCUUUACAUGUCUGUUAUAUUUGACCAUUUCUAUAAAAUUUCUCAAUUGAUAUAUACGAACAUAAUCUCGUGUAUAUCUUUACAUUGUAUGUAGCAUUAAUCUCUUAUAUUCUCAUGACUUAUAAAUUUGCUUUCCAUUUACUAGAAGCAAACAAGUCCAUGUUACCAAUGUCAUCAACAACAGCUCCUUGGUAAAUUUACUUUCCAUUGCAUAUUUCAGUAACAGCAUUCAAAGGAUUCAUACCUUUAUAAAUUUACUUUCCAUUGCAUAUUUCAGUAACAGCAUUCAAAGGAUUCAUACCUUUAUAAAUUUACUUUUCAUUGCAUAUUUUAGUAACAAGAUUCUUCGCCCUUGGUAUAUUACAACAUCCACCAACAAUUAUCACAUCAUUUAUAUUCUCAACUUCUAUCUUUGCAUCUUGCAAGCAUUGGAUGAUUAACUUUUCACACUUCUCAAACACCUCUUUGUUAACUUCCUCAAACUCCUUCCGCGUUACAACCUUGCAUAUCUUCAAACCAUAUCCCAAAUCUAAAUCAACCUCAACACUUGUCUCAGAAGAAAGCUUAGUAAUAACGUCAUGGAUUCUACUUCGAAGAAAAGCCAUUGAUAUAAUUUCUGAGUUCCAAUGAACUUGUUGUUGGAAAAGUUUAGGAGUAGUACAAAACAGAAAGAGUGUAACACAGAUUGGAAGUUUGUUGUGCCGUGAAAAAUCACUGCCUUGAAAGCAAAAUUCGGCUAGACCUUGAUGCAAUCUAGAUUGCCGACUGCUUCCCAAGGUUAACACAACGAGCCUACAAACACGUGCACUCGUGGCCUUAGGCUAUGGAAAUCACAGAACAAUUGCUCAGAUUCUAGAAGUAGAAGAUAAGAAAAAGAAGUGAAGUAAAGAGAAGAAUUUUCUCUGCCUGUCACAAAACUAUGACAGUCUUUUAAAUAGAAAACCAAUGAAAACCGUUCUGUCCUUUUUUUCUCAGUAAAACAAAAAAGCUCCUCUUAUUCCUUAAUAAUAGCCAAACAAUUGAAAUCAAUUGACAGUUAGAAAUAUGCUAAUAAAUUUGAGGUUAUGCAAUCUGAUUUAUAACUAAUCAAGAGCAUUAAAAGGAGAGAUUUGCUAAGGAAUAAAAAUCUUAACUGAUGAAAAUCAAUUAAGGAAAAUAUGGAAUAAAGUAAAAAAUAUUUUCUACCAAUGUGGGACAUCACAAAGAAAAGAAUGGCUUCAGUUUUCCAUUGUCCAACAAUCCCCCACCAAUGGUAAAACUGAAGGUAAAUAAGAACAAGUUUCUAAGCAAAAGAGGGAGUAACACUUAAGUAUCAAUAUCAUAAUGAUUGAAUUGAUACAUAGUGAAGUAAGACAACAAAUGUGUCUAGGUAGUGAGUUACUCUUGAACUACCAAGUUUUCAAAUGAGACCCUUACAACACAUGUAUUUCCCUAAAAUCUGUGAUAUCCGCGAUAGUAUAAACAAGCGCUUUUAACGGCCAUGCGCACACCUUGGGUACUAAUGAGUGCUCUAGAAAGACAGCCUAAUUCUUUCAUAGAAGGCGGCCUACCUUCACACUCACGUAGAUGAAUCCAUCAAGUGCAUCUCAGAAGCACCACCAAAGAGGCUAUGGAUUCAUUAAGAGCAAAAGAAUGCUCAUCUUUCAAAAUAACAAGCGAUUAGUCCAUCAAGUCCAAUUCACACGGACCACCCAAUAAUUAGGGCUAUGAACUCAUUAAGAACUAAAAGUUCACCUAUCAACAUUGUAUUACCACAUGUCAUGGAGAUGGGAAAUGUAAUACAAUAGAGUAAUCAUAUGGUUUCGCUUGACCAUUGAUGGGAUCCNNNNNNNNNNNNNNNNNNNNNNNNNNNNNNNNNNNNNNNNNNNNNNNNNNNNNNNNUUAAGCCCCAUCCCCCUCGACGAUUCAAGUACUACUUUCUUUGUUAGACCUUUAGUGAAAGGAUCCGCCAAGUUUUUCUCAGAUCUAACAAACUGUAAAGAGACCACACCAUUUUUCAACAAUUCUCUAACUGAACUGUGUCUGAUGCGUAUGUGUCUCCUUUUUCCAUUAUAAACACUGUUCAUAGCAACUCCAAUAGCUGCUUCAGAGUCACAAUGAAGAGANNNNNNNNNNNNNNNNNNNNNNNNNNNNNNNNNNNNNNNNNNNNNNNNNNNNNNNNNNNNNNNNNNNNNNNNNNNNNNNNNNNNNNNNNNNNNNNNNNNNNNNNNNNNNNNNNNNNNNNNNNNNNNNNNNNNNNNNNNNNNNNNNNNNNNNNNNNNNNNNNNNNNNNNNNNNNNNNNNNNNNNNNNNNNNNNNNNNNNNNNNNNNNNNNNNNNNNNNNNNNNNNNNNNNNNNNNNNNNNNNNNNNNNNNNNNNNNNNNNNNNNNNNNNNNNNNNNNNNNNNNNNNNNNNAAAUUUUUUAACGUUUUCAAACUUGCAUCAAUAUAUUUUUAAAAAUUUUGAUGUGUGCAUAUUAGUUUUCAAAACAUACAACUAUAUCCCUCAUUUUUCAAAUAUUUUGAGUUAUUUUCGUNNNNNNNNNNNNNNNNNNNNNNNNNNNNNNNNNNNNNNNNNNNUACACUUUAUUCAUUUAUAUACUACCUAUAAGCAUUUAUUUUUGAGAGUUUUAAUAUUUAGAAAUAUAAGAAAAAUUUUGUGUUUGUAAGAAUUUGGUUUCAAAUCUUUAGAAGUUCAAAACUUUAGAUUUAAAAUAGUCUUUUUUAUCGAAACAUUUUAAGGUGGUAACCUUUGUGUUUAAAAUUUUCAAAGUUCAUAUUUUAUAUGUCCACCUUUGUGUAUCAAACUUUUCAACGUUUACAUUUCAUAUGUCCCUUUAAUGGAUUUUUCGCCAAUUAUAAGCAUUUUAUUUAAGAAAACGAGGUUAUUAAUUUUCAAUGUCACUUAAAACUAUAGAAAUCAAACUUUUUUGAGGUUAGACAUUAUGGAUAGNNNNNNNNNNNNNNNNUUUCAAGUUAGAACUUAAAAUCUUUUUCUAGUUUUAUGAUAUGUUGCUCAAUUUUUUCCCGUUUUCAAAUUUGCAUCAAUAUGAUUUUAAAAAAUUAGAUGUGUGCGUAAUAGAUUUCAAAACUUCCAACUUGAUCCCUCAUUUUUAAAAAUUUUUGACUUAUUUUCGUGAAAGUUUACAACAUGCAUGAAGUUACACUUUAUUGAUACAUAUAUUACCUAUAAUCAUUUAUUUUUUAAAGUUUUAAUAUUUAGAAAUAGGAGAAAAAUUUUGUGUUUGUUAGAAUUUUGAUUCAAAUAUUUAAAAGUUCAAAACUUUAGACUUAAAAUAGUCUUUUCUUAUCGAAACAUUUUGAGUUGGUAACCUUUGUGUUUAAAAUUUUCAAAGUUCAUAUUUUAUAUGUCCACCUUUGUGUUUCAAUUUUUCAACGUUUAUAUUUUAUAUGUCCCUUUAAUGGAUUUUCCGCCAAUUAGAAGCAUUUUAUUUAAGAAAACGAGGUUAUUAAAUUCCAAUGUCACUUAAAACUAUAGGAAUGAAACUUUUUUGAGGUUAGGGAUUUUGGGUAGUAUAUGCGGGAACACCGUGUAACUUCUUGCAUUUUCGGUCAAUUAUACCAAUUUCAAUUAAUUGUUUUUUUGAAUUUCCAAUAUCACUUAAAACGUAAGAAAUCAAAACUUUUUUGGUAACUUACCACAAUUUAAAUUUCAAGUUAGAACUUAAAAUCUUUUUCUAGUUUUAUGAUAUGUUGCUCAAUUUUUUCCCGUUUUCAAAUUUGCAUCAAUAUGAUUU